AAGUGUGGCUACUGGGGCAGCGAGAAGAUAUACAGGACAUCUACUCUGGAUGCAGCUAUGACUAAGAGCAGGGGUCAGCAGGAGGCCAAGGCUGGCCUGACCUACACACUCUUCUUAGGAACCAGGAGGUUAACUGAGGGCUCAUCAAAAGAUUCGGUUCUCAGACGAUAUAAUGGAAUUCACAGCUGGAGGUGACAGGCUGGGCUUGAUGACCUGGGUUUACUCCCCAAGCCCCACAUGGUGGAAGGAGAUAACUGCAAGUUGUCCUCUGACCCCCAUCUGCAUUCAUAUGUCUACACACACACACACACACACACACACACACACACACACACCCUCUACCCGAGAUACCUACCAAUUUCGGGUUUGUGGGCACUCUCUUUAGUGCUUAACAAGGACACAAAAGAUGGAACUAACUGUGCUUUUCAGGAGAACAAAGAUCUACUAGAACAGGGGAACCGUGCCCCAUUUCCAGUAAUUCCUGGCAAGCACACUCUAGCAGAAGCAGCUUGCGUCCCCUUCUCGGAGUGCUUGGGGAACCGGAGAUGCAGAUUGCAUUGCACUGGGCGAAGAAGGAAAUAAUGAAUGAAGCACCUGCUUGACCAUUGGGCUUAACGAUCCUCAAGAAGAUGGACAAGUGAGCAGGAAGUCAAGACAGGCAGAGACCCACACCAC
ensembl:lincRNA